ensembl:antisense Gm36840 predicted gene, 36840
AGUGGGAUAAAGGUAUUCCGGAAGAAAGGCUGCACAGUGACUGCGAAGUCCUCACGCUCCAUGUACCGGUGCCAAUAGGAGAGCUCGGAGAUGCCGCUCUGAGGAUGGAGAGGCUGCUCAAUCCAACUGGCAAGAACCAACCUCCAGGAAGGCAUUUAUAAAGCCCCAGCUGUACUGCCAGGAGGUGGAGCCCUGGGAUGAAGCACACCCAGUAUUAAAAGUGAGGAGCAGCGCCUUCUCCAGCAUGGUA